AUGAUGGGAUGCGGAUGCGUGAUAAGGUUUAUGACUUGAGGAUUUAGCACGACACUGCACCGUGGUAGCUCGCUGCGCAAUAAUAAACAGCGCUGCUGUUCGGGCGCAGCUUUGGGAAAGUCAUCUUGCACGUUUUGCCGGAUUCUGCGGUCCCCUCCAACUUAACGUCCUGGUGAGGCUCCAUCGUGGGGUUUUUGUAGUACAUGUACCCGAUGAGCUGCAUGCCCAUGCCGGGCUGCCGGUACCACAGCAUCUGGUCGUAGUUCGGUAUGCUGUGAGUACACGCGAUCGUGGCCGGGCGGCCCGCUGCCUCGAUGAUGUCGGCGGGCGUUUGCGUGACUUUCAGUCCUGAAAGAAAAAAGAAACGCACACGUUUUGUAAAUUCCGAAGUCCACAAAACGAACAAACCUUUGUUUCGGUUAGUCUACGGUGAAUCUUCCAUAAACAUCAAAAAUGAUUUAUCGAUUACUUUAAGCAUUUUUGUUACCAUCGAAGGCAAUGUAGAGCCUUCAAUAAACCUGAAGUGUGUGUUUUCGUAAACAUUGAUGAUGAUUUAGUCGUUGACAAAUCUAACAUUGACAUUUUGGUCAACUUUGAAGGUGUUUCGUCUCCGGUGAAUCUCAUUCUCCUAAACUGCAAGAUGAAUUUGAAUUCGAUUUUCGGGGAAUCAAACAUUUUGUGACCUUUGUCGUGGAGACCCAUUUUGAGUCUUCGAUGGGACACAACGUAUACCUUGUCGUAAACAUCAAAGACAAAUUGGUAAGUUAAGCGUUUUCGAUUGAUCAAACCUACGCACUUUCAGUCCUGAAGGAAAGAAUUCAAAACGUUAGCUUUGGCUCGUGGAGCCGAUGACGUCCGAUGUUACCUGACAGCAGAGUAACGCUGGCAGCAAAGCUCAGCAACACGAGGAACAUCAUCUUUGCCUUUCGGGUUACUUGAGCUCGUUAUGAUCGGCACUCGCCACUCAUCAGAUAAAAGAGCAGCAGCCGACGCGAGCUGAUUGGCUGAGAUCCCGUGGUUCGCGGCCUCCUUUAACUUUAACUUUAAAAGGCCUAUUUUUAAAGAUUUUAAAUGAAUGUGUUUCCUCUAAACGUGAUAUUUGUUAUCAUUUUUUAUUUAAUUUGCAACUUUUAAAAUAUAGUUUGCAUUGUUUUGUCCUUUCUUUUAUUGUAAUUCUUUUGUAAAUGAGAUGAGAUCUGUUUAACGUUUUGGAUUAUUGUAAUGUAAUGAAUGUAUUCUAACGAUAAAAUACUAAUAUAUUAAUUUAUUACAUUUUCCUUCAGGGAUUACAUGAAAACUCAAAAAAUCAACACUGAACAUCAGCAAGUACGUGCCGCCCAGGUCGUGGCUGCAGCGCACGCUGGCGGGCGAGCCGACUCGGACCAGCAAGUCCGACGUCUGGCGCCCCCCUUCGCCGUCUCCUGGAAGCAAUGCGGUCUGCGCGCUUAUCUAAUCACCGACGUCUGUCAACGAGACGCUGAUCCUCACCAGCGACGAUGCAGAGCAGCCAGAAGCCGAAGGGGCUGACGGCUGGCGACAUUUUGUUGGGGAAACUUGAGUGACAAGUGAGACACGCCGCCGCAUACUGCAAGGUGGCAUCUGAAAGGGGUUGUUGACCGUGUGACGUGGUCCCCAAAUGCCAAAGUAUCCUCACAAGUCCUACAGGGUCAGGGUUUCAAAGUCAAGUUUCAAAAUGGGGUUAGGGUUUCAAAGUAUGGUUUCAAAACAGGGUACGGUUUCAAAGUAGAGUUUCAAAACAGGGUUAUGGCUUCAAAUUAGGGUUUCAAAACGGGGUUAGGUUUCAAACAUUGUUGGUGUUUCAAAGUAGGGUUUCAAAACAGGGUAGGGCUUCAAAGAAGGGUUUCAAAACAGGGUUGCGGUUUCAAAAUCGGGUUUCACAAUGGGGUUAGGGCAUCAAAGUCGGGUUUCAAAAUUGGGUUAGGGUUUCAAACAAUGUUGGGGUUUCAAAGUAGGGUUUCAAAACAGGGUACGGUUUCAAAGUAGUGUUUCAAAACCAGGGUUAUGGCUUCUAAUUAGGGUUUCAAAAUGGGGUUAUGGUAUAAAAGUAUGGUUUCAAAGUGGGGUUAGGGUUUCCAACAUUGUUGGGGUUUCAAAACAGGGUACGGUUUCAAAGGGUUUCAAAACAGGGUUAUGGUUUCAAAAUAAGGUUUCACAACGGGGUUAAGGUUUCAAAUUAGGGUUUCAAAACAGGGUUAGGGUAUCAAAGUCGGGUUUCAAAAUGGGGUUAGGAUUUCAAACAUUGUUGUGGUUUCAAAGUAGGGUUUCAAAACUGGGCACGGUUUCAAAGUAGGGUUUCACAACGGGGUUAAGGUUUCAAAUUACGGUUUCAAAACAGGUUUAGGGUAUCAAAGUCAGGUUUCAAAAUGGGGUUAGGUUUUAGAACAUUGUUGGGGUUUCAAAGUAGGGUUAUGGCUUCAAAUUAGGCUUUCAAAACGGGGUUAGGGUAUCAAGUGUGUUUCAAAACAGGCUUAAAUGCACACUUCGUCUGAAAUGGUUGCCGUCAACACAGGGUCGGUGGGAGGAGUUAGUCGUGUAGGAAGAAGCAUCUCUGCAUCUCAUCUCGUGAGCUCCAUUACCUCACGAUCUGAAAAUUUGGCGACAUAAUGGAAGAAUCAGAAUGACAAACCUGUUUACAGAUUUCACAAAAUUAUAAUUUUUUUUUAGUGAAGUCAGGAAAAUAGCUGGAUAGUAGGGAAUUUUGCAAUCGCAAACGUGUAUGAACCGUGUGUGUAGAAAAUAGUGUUUUGACUCAUCGAAAGAAAAAGAGGCCACCACGUUUGCGGUGAAGACAUCGUGUCCGUCACCGUUGUCUCGCGUUCCAGCGCCACUCGUGAAUGUCUCGGACGCGAGUGUCCUCCUCCUGACCUGCGCCUUGCCUUGUCCUCCACAUAACACACGACAAAAACACACAAUCAUUUCAGGAGUAAGCUUUUCCGCACGCGUUGAAAACUUUGGCGCCAUCAGGUGGACAAAUGUAAAACAAAUAAGUAGUCCGAGUCAAAUAAAAAUCUAUGAGGAAAAAAAUGUUCGGUUACGAUUAUUUUCGGGGGGGGGAAAUGCUUAGAAAUAAAUGUCAGUUUUUAAAAAGUUCACUUUUAUAUUUUCAAAAUGAAAAGUUUUAUUUUUUUGAUUAUAGUCGUAUAUUUUUCUAGAA